rnacentral:rRNA from 1 species
CUCCUACGGGAGGCUGCAGUGGGGAAUUUUGGACAAUGGGCGCAAGCCUGAUCCAGCAAUGCCGCGUGCAGGAUGAAGGCCUUCGGGUUGUAAACUGCUUUUGUACGGAACGAAACGGCUUCUUCUAAUACAGGAGGCUAAUGACGGUACCGUAAGAAUAAGCACCGGCUAACUACGUGCCAGCAGCCGCGGUAAUACGUAGGGCGCGAGCGUUAAUCGGAAUUACUGGGCGUAAAGCGUGCGCAGGCGGUUAUGUAAGACAGAGGUGAAAUCCCCGGGCUCAACCUGGGAAUUGCCUUUGUGACUGCAUAGCUAGAGUACGGUAGAGGGGGAUGGAAUUCCGCGUGUAGCAGUGAAAUGCGUAGAUAUGCGGAGGAACACCGAUGGCGAAGGCAAUCCCCUGGACCUGUACUGACGCUCAUGCACGAAAGCGUGGGGAGCAAACAGGAUUAGAUACCCUGGUAGUCCACGCCCUAAACGAUGUCAACUGGUUGUUGGGUCUUCACUGACUCAGUAACGAAGCUAACGCGUGAAGUGACCG